AUCGAACGCUGGCGGCAGGCUUAACACAUGCAAGUCGAACGAGUGGCGGACGGGUGAGUAAUGCUUGGGCAUCCAGCCCAUGGCGGGGGAUAACUACGGGAAACUGUAGCCAAUACCGCGUACUAUAGGAUGAGCCCAAGUGGGAUGAGGUAGUUGGUGAGGUAAAGGCUCACCAAGCCGACGAUCUCUAGCUGGUCUGAGAGGAUGACCAGCCACACGGGGACUGAGACACGGCCCAGACUCCUACGUGAGGCAGCAGUGGGGAAUAUUGCGCAAUUGGGGCAACCUGACGCGGCCAUGCCGCGUGAAUGAGGAAGGCCUUCGGGUUGUAAAGUUCUUUCGGUAGCGAGGCGUUAGCUACAGAAGAAGCACCGGCUAACUCCGUGCCAGCAGCCGCGGUAAUAC
rnacentral:rRNA from 1 species